UACGGAGGGUGCAAGCGUUAUCCGGAUUUACUGGGUUUAAAGGGUCCGUAGGCGGUUUUGUAAGUCAGUGGUGAAAGCCCAUCGCUCAACGGUGGAACGGCCAUUGAUACUGCAAGACUUGAAUUAUUGGGAAGUAACUAGAAUAUGUAGUGUAGCGGUGAAAUGCUUAGAGAUUACAUGGAAUACCAAUUGCGAAGGCAGGUUACUACCAAUAUAUUGACUGAC
rnacentral:rRNA from 1 species